UGCAGCAACGCCGCGUGUGUGAUGAAGGUCUUCGGAUCGUAAAGCACUUUCGACCGGGACGAACACCCCUUGGCCAAUAUCCAAGGGCCUGACGGUACCGGGAGAAGAAGCACCGGCUAACUCUGUGCCAGCAGCCGCGGUAAUACAGAGGGUGCAAGCGUUGUUCGGAAUUAUUGGGCGUAAAGCGCGUGUAGGCGGCUUUGCAAGUCGGGUGUGAAAGCCCUCAGCUCAACUGAGGAAGUGCGCCCGAAACUGCAGAGCUUGAGUGCCGGAGAGGGUGGCGGAAUUCCCCAAGUAGAGGUGAAAUUCGUAGAUAUGGGGAGGAACACCGGUGGCGAAGGCGGCCACCUGGACGGUAACUGACGCUGAGACGCGAAAGCGUGGGGAGCAAACAGGAUUAGAUACCCUGGUAGUCCACGCCGUAAACGAUGAGAACUAGGUGUCGUGGGUGUUGACCCCCGCGGUGCCGUAGCUAACGCAUUAAGUUCUCCGCCUGGGAAGUACGGUCGCAAGACUA
rnacentral:rRNA from 1 species